UAAAGUGGCGCACGGGUGAGUAACACGUGGAUCAUCUACCUUUUAGUGGGGAAUACCUCUGGGAAACCGGAGACAAUACCGCAUAAGCCUGCAAAGGGAAAGCCGAAAGGCGCUGAAAGAGGAGUCCGCGGCCGAUUAGCUAGUUGGUGAGGUAAUGGCUCACCAAGGCGAAGAUCGGUAGCCGGCCUGAGAGGGCACACGGCCACACUGGCACUGAAACACGGGCCAG
rnacentral:rRNA from 1 species